GGUUGUGUAGUGUAGUGGUUAUCACUGUAGGUUCUCGUUGAAGCGCUCUGGCAUUCAUCACGUACUGACUUCCAUCGAGCCGGAUUUUGAUCACUUGCUAUCAAAUGUCUUCCGGCAACCCCGGUUCGAGCCCGGGCACGACCU
rnacentral:tRNA from 1 species